rnacentral:rRNA from 1 species
CCUACGGGCGGCAGCAGUGAGGAAUAUUGGUCAAUGGCCGGAAGGCUGAACCAGCCAUGCCGCGUGAAGGUCAGUGCCCUAUGGGCGUUAAACUUCUUUUGUGCGGGAGCAAUAAUGGUCACGUGGGGCCAGACGAGAGUACCGUACGAAUAAGCAUCGGCUAACUCCGUGCCAGCAGCCGCGGUAAGACGGGGGAUGCAAGCGUUAUCCGGAUUUAUUGGGGUUAAAGGGUGCGUAUGCUGUGAGGUAAGUCAGCGGUGAAAUGCCCCCGCUCAACGGGGUGAAGUGCCAUUGAUACUGCCUUGCUGGAAUGCGGAUGCAGUGGGAGGAAUGUGUGGUGUAGCGGUGAAAUGCAUAGAUAUCACACAGAACACCGAUUGCGAAGGCAUCUCACGAAUCCGCGAUUGACGCUGAUGCACGAAAGCGUGGGUAUCAAACAGGAUUAGAUACCCGGGUAGUC